GAGUGUUUGCGUGGCAGGUUGUUCCACGUUCCACGGAACAGCCGGAGGUGGGUUUCAUGACAUUUAAAUGGGAGGGUGUUCUACCGAUUCGCAAGACUUUACACACAGGUGUAAACAAUGAUUGACGAGUAUAGGAAAAAAAAAAUUAUCUCGAAGGCUACAAAUCCUCGAAUUGGUAACGCGAAGUGCACGUAGUAACGGUCAGAGAAUGGGAUCGAAGAAAGCGAAUCAGAUUAUCAGAAAGUUAUUUGAGAAAAGAAUUUUCCGUUAAACGCGUUUAUUUUCAGACAAAAAAAAGCUUCUUUUCCUUCGUUAAUUUCUUCCUCUUUUAAUAUCCAUUAUGUUUUUAUCGUUGGAGUAUCACGAUCAUUUAUUUAAUCAGAAGACGGCCACGUUCACACAUGGAUACAAUGCAUCGUUUCCCCACUGAGAUACACCGUAUCUAAUACGAGGAGACCUACCUAAAACGCUCUUCGGCGUUUCCUCGAAGGAACGCACCGCGCACAUUUCUUAUAUCAUCUCGGACACUAACGAAGAUAUAGGAUGUCGUCUGGCGGAUAGAUAAUCGCACUGCGCCGGGUCUAAGGUGUCACUUGUCUGGAGACUGUGCUCGGAAUAUUGCAUUACGUUAAUGCGCGAUAUUAAUGUACUCACGAGAUUUAAUAACAAUAAAUAAUAAAACUGUUAGUUCUCCAUUGCAGAUUAUAGAAAACCGAGUAAAUUCACGAUUAUUUUUUAACUAAAUUUAAUUUAUACUAAAUAUUUAAUUUUUUAUAUUUUGACCGAGAAACAUUUGUGUCUUGGCGGAUAUUCAAUUAUGUCAGCAUAUAUUUGUAUAUGCAUUUAGUUUUAUUCUAUAAACUUUUAUAAAUAACUCUCAUAUAUUAACAUAUAUUUUAUAUUUUUUUUGUUAUAAAUAACAAUUAAAAAAAUAAAUCGUAUGAUGCUGCAGGCGAUAACGUACAUGUAUUACAUAUCUCAAAACAAUUAUCACGUAGAAAAUGAAACUGAUAGAGAAAUUCUAAUUAAAUUCUAACGUAAACAAUAUGCAAGGAUUAUUGCGAAUGAUACAACGUAUCGGCAAUGAUCAUGUUCACUAGUGUAAUGAGAACAACGGCUGGAAAUCGAAGGACUGAGGGAUCGCCAGUAGAACCGGAUAAAUCUCAAUACAAAGUCAAUUACGGCUGGCAGCUACGAUCGUGCCGGUGGGCGUGAAUAGCUCGCGCGAGUCAUUUGCAUCGUGCGCGCCGAUAUCGAAUUGAUUUACAAAUUCCAGCUUGCUAGAUGUAGUCCCACUGAUUGACAGUUCGCGCCGUGUAUUGUUUAUUUACGCCGCGGAUGCGGAUAAGAGAGUUCGCCGGCACGAUUGUUGCGACAGAUCGAUUAAAAUUAUCUCGAAUAAGCUAAAAUACAACGAGAAGUGUGCGAAGUUGUUCUAAACUGCUUUAAGAACUUGUAAAUCGAUGCUAUAUUUAUUGCUAAUCUAUUGCCGACAUUUUGCGUUAUCGAGAGAAAAUGAAACAAAGAAACAAUUUUGUCAGAAAAAGAGAUAAAAUUUAAAUUAAAAGUAAAAUUCUCAAAUUUUCCUUCAGCAGUGAUAAAAUUGACCAUUUUCAAGAAUAAACAGAUCUUUCUACAGAUUAGAUUCUUAUCUUAUCUAGAUAGAAAAGAAAGAUUGAAUCAAAUAGUAUUAAUGCUGCGACCCAGGUGCAAUGCGCCUCAUUAACGAUGCUGAUCAUUUCUCGGUGCGGGCUUUUUACGAAUGAUCGAUCAGAAAUUACUAUGGGUCCGGGAAUUUUUCGUGCACGCGCAUGAUUUAUCCCGCGGACGAGAGUCGGUCGGUUUGUUACGAGUAACGUUUAACGCGCUUGAUAGCGUCAUUAAUCCUUUCGGGUGUAUUUGUAGUCACGAGAAAAGUGUUAGAUCGCGCGCGCGAGGAAUUGUGUUACGUGAGCGUUGAAACGAACAACGCUCGAGACAAACGCGCGCUGUCGGAGCGGAGUUAACAAACUCGCGCGGGUAGGCGCGCGGAAAAGUGACGUUCGCGGGAACGUCAUAGUGAUGCAUCUCGUGUCGUUUGUAUCGCGGCGGCUCUGUGAUUAAUCGGGUCAGAGUAGCAGCAGGUCCUCACUCAUGAAUGCGUCGUGAGGAUUGCAUCGCGUCUCGCGUCUCAGUUUUGCCGGUUGCGUCAAAGGCAGAAAACGAAUCUGCGAAUCGUAAAUUCCUUUCAUUCGAGCUAAAUGAUCCGCGGUGAAAGAUUUCGCGUUCGAAACGAUUCUUCAUUUGGCAGUAAACGGCUUGGUCUAUAAUGUGCGUCACGAACACGCUCGUAAUUGAAGAAGUUAAAUUGAAAUGUAAAAAAAAAAGGCGAACUAGGAAAUAAUUAAGCGGCUUUCCUUGGUGUCUUCUUAGGCAAACGGAACAUAAAAUCUGAUUGGGCCGUAAGUCUACGACCUACGACCGCAUUUUCUCGCGGAAAUAAAUUAAACGAGUAAUGCUCGAGGAGAUCUCAUCCUCGAUGCCGGAUAAAGCACCUGCGAGCAGAUAAUAAGGAUCUAGAAGGGAAAGGUCGCGAACAGCCGUCAGCGUCCGGGUGCACGAGGUUAUCCGUGUCGCGAAUCAGCACUAUUCGUUCUGAAUUCUCCGCUGGCAAGCGGCCGAUCCAGGCGAAUGGAAAACAGAGGUACCUACCACGGAAUCAAGCGGCAGGAGGGAGGAACUCGCUUUAUACUUACGUUCGGCACGACCAUGGCCGAACCCGGUGAGCGCACAUAACAUGGAACAAUGGCAGAGAGUAUGCAUAUUGCUUUUGAGUCGGCGGACUAGAUGUCGGACGGAUUAUCGGGACAACAAAAAAUGAUCUCACCGACCCUGAACGAGGGCUGGCCGGCGUCGACGAUGACGUCGGCCACGGCGGCGGCGGCGUUAGAACGGAGUCGUCGACGUACGGUCGGCUCGUAUUCGCGUUCCCCAGCCCUAUGAAUGAAUGUGGCGCCAAGUGAAUGGAGUAUGUCUGUGCUGGCGAUGCCUACGCACGGCUCGCGACGUGAUCCGGAACUGCCCGAUUCCCUUGUACCCUGCACGCACGCACGCACGUGCGUAGGAAUUGCGGGCACGAGGAUCGGUGACUAAUUUGCACGCGCUUUACGCUACAUGUUGUGUUGUUAUUCAUUUGUCGGGAGACGAGGGAGAUGGACCACCGACAUCGAGAUAAUUCUCGAGAUAAAUUUUCAAUGCGCGAUUCAUCGGCGACGGAGCGUAAUGACCGUUUUUAUAAUUUUAACGACGAAUGAGGAUCAAAUGUAAACCAGAUGGGACAAAUAUAAAAUUAAUGAAUACCUUCAAGCGCAACACCUGUCCACUUCGCUUUCACUUACUCUUAAUUCGCUUAAUCAUCUCCGUAAUUUUUCGAUACGCAUGAAAUAAGAGAAGGUAGAAGAAAAAAAAAAAUUCAACUUCGCCGACCAUGAAGAAAUCUGGUCGCUACCUGUUUGGAAGACGACAGUCGGCGAGAAGGCGCCCGGAGAAGCCGACGAACGAGACACGAUGUAUUCGUAUAUGUAUAUACAUGCACGUAUACGGGUUCAGAGAUGGCCCGCGGCAGGCGGCCGGUGAUCUUAUCACACGGCGGUCCGUGCCCAAGUGACGGGCAGGUAUUAGGCAAUUACGCGCCGCUUAAUUGCUGAUUACUCAAGGACGCGAUAGCUCCACCGUUAAUUACGCGCGCUGACAAUUUAUACCGCUCGUUCACGCCCGGCUGGUAAUUAUCAGGCGGCUCCCAUAGUGACACACGAUUUUGUGGAACCGCGGAAUCACUGUAAUUUAAAAAAAAACAUGGACUACAAUUACCGGUCAGCGAUCAUUACGCGUUAUCGAUUGAUCACGUCUGGGAAAGGAUCUUCCAUGUAAUCUUUUUUUAAAAAAGAGUUGGUCGAUAAACUCGUUUGUGUGAAAGAUCGGCCGUUUAUUGGAAACAUAAAAUUAAACUCGACAUCUUUCUCACUUCGACUAUAUAGUGAUUGGAUUUCGAAUAAUUAGCUUAGGUAGGAUAUAAUAGGCAGUUUUAGCCUAAUCAACUCGACUAUGGAUAUUUCGAAACAUUCCAUCUAUUUCCUUUAUCUAAUCUACCAAGAUUUACAUCAUGUAUACCUAUACAUUUCUAUUUUAAAGUAGUUUUAGAUACUUUAGAACGUAGUUAUAACUACUGCCACUCUGUGACUUGAAAAAUUAAAAGACAAAGUUAAGAUUAAUUUUAUAUCUAAUAUAAAACAAUGAUUUCGUUCUUUAUAUGUACGUUUUAUAUAUCUAUACUUUAUUUACUUUUUCUGUACAAGAAACAUAGAAACUAAGCCGCUACUUGUGAUUGCCCGUUAAAUCGCUCUUCAGUCGGCGAUCGACGGCAGAUUGCGGCGGUUUCCGCAAAAGCCGCGCGGAACCACGAUGAGAGACCCGGUACGACGUAAUUAUGACAGGUUAAUGUCGCCGAUGCAAUUCGAGAAGGUCAGUCUUGUGGCAAAUUGAACCGCCCACGCGAUAUUAGCGGGAGACCGCACUCCGCAGCGAAAUCUCCGCCGUUCGCGGCCAUGUACAUUGCGAAUUCGUAUACAUACAUGCAUGCCGCGCGUGCACGCGUAUUAUUCCAUUAACGUGAUCCGUUGCGGAUAGAAGGAAAAGGAAGAAGGGAGGUCUCCAGGUAUACGCAUCGUGCGCUAUUGCGCUACGUUAUUUAUGUGACGUUCCAUUACUAGCUCUUAAUUGUUUGACUAAUGUCUAAGUCAUGCCGCAAAGUCGGCUUCAAGGAUUUGUCAGUGCUUAAUUGCCGCGAUUCCAUCGAAAUUGUAACUUUUAAUUAUACUAACAUAUUUAGUUCCUCAAGAUUACUUUACAGUUAGAGAUAUUCGACGUUAGUCAGAUUACUUUAAAUUUAUAGAUUUAGUUGUCUCUUCCAUUUCAUCUUUAUUUAUAAAAAUUUUAUUUAUACAAUUUUAUUAAUUUAUUUCUUCAAAAAAAGCUAGGCUACUUCAACGUCAUUUAUGUAACUUAUGUAUGCCAAUAAAUUAUGUUACCUUUUUAACUUAAUUGUUCUAAUUAAUGUUACUCAUAAUAUUUUUUUUGCUCAUGUAGCAACAUCUUGAAUCCUUAUCAUACAUUAACAUUUAAUAUGUGAUCGUCGCAUUCUAUGAAGCUUCCUGUACAUAAUUUUUAGAGAUAAUCUUACGGAUUUACAUAAUGAUUUUUUGGAAUAAAAUGAGAAACCAUAUAAAAUCUUGUUUACAAAGUUCCACUAUCCCACUUUAACAGUUCCACGCAUGCGUGGUAGUCGUAAAAGUGGCGGAGACUUCACUUUCGAAAGGCGCGAAGAUGCCAAGAUGAUAUCCAGCACCCAAUUACCUCCCUGCUCGUUAUCUUGGUCUGAUCGUUAUCGCGAGGCACGACCCAGAAAAUGAGGAAAAAAAAA